UACGUAGGGCGCAAGCGUUGUCCGGAAUUAUUGGGCGUAAAGAGCUCGUAGGCGGCUUGUCACGUCGAUUGUGAAAGCCCGAGGCUUAACCUCGGGUCUGCAGUCGAUACGGGCUAGCUAGAGUGUGGUAGGGGAGAUCGGAAUUCCUGGUGUAGCGGUGAAAUGCGCAGAUAUCAGGAGGAACACCGGUGGCGAAGGCGGAUCUCUGGGCCAUUACUGACGCUGAGGAGCGAAAGCGUGGGGAGCGGACAGG
rnacentral:rRNA from 1 species